UGGGGAAUAUUGCACAAUGGGCGCAAGCCUGAUGCAGCCAUGCCGCGUGUAUGAAGAAGGCCUUCGGGUUGUAAAGUACUUUCAGCGGGGAGGAAGGGAGUAAAGUUAAUACCUUUGCUCAUUGACGUUACCCGCAGAAGAAGCACCGGCUAACUCCGUGCCAGCAGCCGCGGUAAUACGAAGGGGGCAAGCGUUAAUCGGAAUUACUGGGCGUAAAGCGCACGCAGGCGGUUUGUUAAGUCAGAUGUGAAAUCCCCGGGCUCAACCUGGGAACUGCAUCUGAUACUGGCAAGCUUGAGUCUCGUAGAGGGGGGUAGAAUUCCAGGUGUAGCGGUGAAAUGCGUAGAGAUCUGGAGGAAUACCGGUGGCGAAGGCGGCCCCCUGGACGAAGACUGACGCUCAGGUGCGAAAGCGUGGGGAGCAAACA
rnacentral:rRNA from 1 species